AACAAACGCUGGCGGCGUGCCUAACACAUGCAAGUCGUACGAGAAAGUUGGCUUCGGCCAAUGAGUAAAGUGGCGCACGGGUGAGUAACGCGUGGAUAAUCUGCCCUUCAGCGGGGAAUAACCCAUCGAAAGGUGGGCUAAUACCCCAUAACACUGUUUUACAACUGUCAAACAGUCAAAGAGAGCCUCUUCUUGCAAGCUUUUACUGAAGGUUGAGUCCGCGUACCAUUAGCUAGUUGGUAGGGUAAUGGCCUACCAAGGCGACGAUGGUUAGCUGGUCUGAGAGGAUGAUCAGCCACACUGGAACUGGGACACGGUCCAGACUCCUACGGGAGGCAGCAGUGAGGAAUCUUGCGCAAUGGGGGAAACCCUGACGCAGCAACGCCGCGUGAGUGAGGAAGGUCUUCGGGUCGUAAAGCUCUGUCAGGCGGGAAGAAAUGCAUGGAGGUGAACAGCCGCCAUGCUUGACGGUACCGCCAGAGGAAGCACCGGCUAACUCCGUGCCAGCCGCCGCCGUAAAAC
rnacentral:rRNA from 1 species